UGGGGAAUUUUGGACAAUGGGGGAAACCCUGAUCCAGCCAUUCCGCGUGUGCGAUGAAGGCCUUCGGGUUGUAAAGCACUUUUGGCAGGAAAGAAAUCGCACAAAUUAAUACUUUGUGUGGAUGACGGUACCUGCAGAAUAAGCACCGGCUAACUACGUGCCAGCAGCCGCGGUAAUACGUAGGGUGCAAGCGUUAAUCGGAAUUACUGGGCGUAAAGCGUGCGCAGGCGGUUCGGAAAGAGAGGUGUGAAAUCCCAGGGCUUAACCUUGGAACUGCACUUUUAACUCCCGAGCUAGAGUAUGUCAGAGGGGGGUGGAAUUCCGCGUGUAGCAGUGAAAUGCGUAGAUAUGCGGAGGAACACCGAUGGCGAAGGCAGCCCCCUGGGAUAAUACUGACGCUCAUGCACGAAAGCGUGGGGAGCAAACAGGAUUAGAUACCCUGGUAGUCCACGCCCUAAACGAUGUCAACUAGCUGUUGGGGGCUUCGGCCCUUAGUAGCGCAGCUAACGCGUGAAGUUGACCGCCUGGGGAGUACGGUCGCAAGAUUA
rnacentral:rRNA from 1 species